rnacentral:rRNA from 1 species
CCUACGGGAGGCAGCUGUGGGGAAUAUUGGACAAUGGGGGCAACCCUGAUCCAGCCAUGCCGCGUGUGUGAAGAAGGCCCUCGGGUUGUAAAGCACUUUCAGUGAGGAAGAACGCCUGGUGGUUAAUACCCAUCAGGAAAGACAUCACUCACAGAAGAAGCACCGGCUAACUCCGUGCCAGCAGCCGCGGUAAUACGGAGGGUGCGAGCGUUAAUCGGAAUUACUGGGCGUAAAGCGCGCGUAGGUGGCUUGAUAAGCCGGUUGUGAAAGCCCCGGGCUCAACCUGGGAACGGCAUCCGGAACUGUCAAGCUAGAGUGCAGGAGAGGAAGGUAGAAUUCCCGGUGUAGCGGUGAAAUGCGUAGAGAUCGGGAGGAAUACCAGUGGCGAAGGCGGCCUUCUGGACUGACACUGACACUGAGGUGCGAAAGCGUGGGUAGCAAACAGGAUUAGAUACCCCAGUAGUC